AUUGAACGCUGGCGGCAUGCCUUACACAUGCAAGUCGAACGGCAGCACGGGAGCAAUCCUGGUGGCGAGUGGCGAACGGGUGAGUAAUACAUCGGAACGUGCCCAGUAGUGGGGGAUAGCCCGGCGAAAGCCGGAUUAAUACCGCAUACGACCUAUGGGUGAAAGCGGGGGAUCGCAAGACCUCGCGCUAUUGGAGCGGCCGAUGGCAGAUUAGCUUGUUGGUGGGGUAAAAGCCUACCAAGGCGACGAUCUGUAGCUGGUCUGAGAGGACGACCAGCCACACUGGGACUGAGACACGGCCCAGACUCCUACGGGAGGCAGCAGUGGGGAAUUUUGGACAAUGGGGGCAACCCUGAUCCAGCCAUGCCGCGUGCGGGAAGAAGGCCUUCGGGUUGUAAACCGCUUUUGUCAGGGAAGAAACGGUCCGAUCUAAUAAAUCGGACUAAUGACGGUACCUGAAGAAUAAGCACCGGCUAACUACGUGCCAGCCGCCGCAGUAACAC
rnacentral:rRNA from 1 species